rnacentral:rRNA from 1 species
CCUACGGGGGGCUGCAGUGGGGAAUAUUGGUCAAUGGGCGCGAGCCUGAACCAGCCAAGUCGCGUGAGGGAAGACGGUCCUAUGGAUUGUAAACCUCUUUUGUCGGGGAGCAAAAGACGCCUCGCGUGGCGUUCCGAGAGUACCUGGAGAAAAAGCAUCGGCUAACUCCGUGCCAGCAGCCGCGGUAAUACGGAGGAUGCGAGCGUUAUCCGGAUUUAUUGGGUUUAAAGGGUGCGUAGGCGGCCUGCCAAGUCAGCGGUAAAAUUGCGGGGCUCAACCCCGUACAGCCGUUGAAACUGCCGGGCUCGAGUGGGCGAGAAGUAUGCGGAAUGCGUGGUGUAGCGGUGAAAUGCAUAGAUAUCACGCAGAACCCCGAUUGCGAAGGCAGCAUACCGGCGCCCGACUGACGCUGAGGCACGAAAGUGCGGGGAUCAAACAGGCUUAGAUACCCGAGUAGUC